rnacentral:rRNA from 1 species
UAGGGAAUCUUCCGCAAUGGACGCAAGUCUGACGGAGCAACGCCGCGUGAGUGAAGAAGGAUUUCGGUUCGUAAAACUCUGUUGUUAGAGAAGAACAGCGCAUAGAGUAACUGUUAUGCGUGUGACGGUAUCUAACCAGAAAGCCACGGCUAACUACGUGCCAGCAGCCGCGGUAAUACGUAGGUGGCAAGCGUUGUCCGGAUUUAUUGGGCGUAAAGCGAGCGCAGGCGGUCAAUUAAGUCUGAUGUGAAAGCCCCCGGCUCAACCGGGGAGGGUCAUUGGAAACUGGUUGACUUGAGUGCGGAAAAGGAGAGUGGACUUCCAUGUGUAGCGGUGAAAUGCGUAGAUAUAUGGAGGAACACCAGUGGCGAAGGCGACUCUCUGGUCUGUAACUGACGCGGAGGCUCGAAAGCGUGGGUAGCAAACAGG